rnacentral:rRNA from 1 species
CAUUGUACGAUAGCACGUUCAAUACACCAGUUCCCCACGGAUCAAUGAAGUUAAACAACGUUGCGCGUGAUUAGUAUACAUGGAUGGGAGACCAUCUGGGGAAUCCGCGUGCUGCUGGGU